CAGUCGCCGCGGUAAUACAGAGGAUGCAAGCGUUAUCCGGAAUGAUUGGGCGUAAAGCGUCUGUAGGUGGCUUUUCAAGUCCGCCGUCAAAUCCCAGGGCUCAACCCUGGACAGGCGGUGGAAACUACCAAGCUAGAGUACGGUAGGGGCAGAGGGAAUUUCCGGUGGAGCGGUGAAAUGCGUUGAGAUCGGAGAGAACACCAACGGCGAAAGCACUCUGCUGGGCCGACACUGACACUGAGAGAUGAAAGCUAGGGGAGCAAAUGGGAUUAGAGACCCCAGUAGUCCCUGUCUCUUAUAC
rnacentral:rRNA from 1 species